rnacentral:rRNA from 1 species
AUUGAACGCUGGCGGCAGGCCUAACACAUGCGAGUCGAACGGUAACAGGAAGCAGCUUGCUGCUUCGCUGACGAGUGGCGGACGGGUGAGUAAUGUCUGGGAAGCUGCCUGAUGGAGGGGGAUAACUACUGGAAACGGUAGCUAAUACCGCAUAAUGUCGCAAGACCAAAGAGGGGGACCUUCGGGCCUCUUGCCAUCGGAUGUGCCCAGAUGGGAUUAGCUUGUUGGUGGGGUAACGGCUCACCAAGGCGACGAUCCCUAGCUGGUCUGAGAGGAUGACCAGCCACACUGGAACUGAGACACGGUCCAGACUCCUACGGGAGGCAGCAGUGGGGAAUAUUGCACAAUGGGCGCAAGCCUGAUGCAGCCAUGCCGCGUGUAUGAAGAAGGCCUUCGGGUUGUAAAGUACUUUCAGCGGGGAGGAAGGGAGUAAAGUUAAUACCUUUGCUCAUUGACGUUACCCGCAGAAGAAGCACCGGCUAACUCCGUG